UACGGAGGGUCCAAGCGUUAUCCGGAAUCAUUGGGUGUAAAGGGUCCGUAGGCGGGUUUAUAAGUCAGUUGUGAAAUUCUGCAGCUUAACUUGAGAACUGCCAUUGAUACUGUAGAUCUUGAAUUAUUAUGAAGUGGAUAGAAUAUGUAGUGUAGCGGUGAAAUGCAUAGAUAUUACAUAGAAUACCGAUUGCGAAGGCAGAUCACUAAUAAUUUACUGACGCUGAUGGACGAAAGCGUAGGUAGCGAACAGG
rnacentral:misc_RNA from 1 species